GGAAAAUUAUCACAAUAUUUAAGCAAGCUGUUGAUGUUGCUUGCUGUCCACAUCGCUCCAUCUUGUUCCAGCUUGAAUCUUCGUGUCUGCUAUUGCAAACAUCGUCUGCAGCAUUUCCCAAAUGCUGGCAGUGCCCUGGCAGCAGUGCCUGGGGCAGGGCAGGUGGUCGGGCCCUUCUCUUGUCCUGCUCCUCCUUCAGCUCACUGGCCUAAAGCCGGGAUUUUAGCAGAUAUUGGGUCAUUGCUGGGUACUGCUAAGUCCUGGUUUAAAUGUCUGGCUUCCUGACUCUUAUCCCUUGCCAUUAAGGAAUAGUAAGUUUGUAGGAGCAGUGAGAGGAGAGACUGCAGGGCUCAGCCUGGUGGGGAGCAGUGGCACUGUCUCCAAACCAGUGCUGCUGCUGCAGGACCCGCGGUGCCACAACCUCACAGUGCCACCGUGAUUCAGAAGGGUGCAUUUCACCUCCCUGCCCAAGUAAUUAAGAACCUGUGCAUGGUUUGUGGUGGUGGCACAGCUGAUAAAUCGUUAGUUGUUAGCCUUUUGUAAUGGGGUUGUGUGCACCUGCUAUGAGUUAAGGUGCAUGUGCUGGGAUGUAUAAAAUAAGGGAGCACUGCAAAAUGGCCCCAGGUAUUUGCUAGUUUAGGGAGAGCCACCUUGCUUACCUGUGACACCAGAAUAUUGAUAAAACCCCAAGAUACGCUACUGUCAUUUAAUUUUUUGGGGGUGGAGGAAAGGGAUUGUAAGUGAAAGCUGCAAAGUGGUACCUGUAGUUCUUCAAGCUUUAAGUGUGCAGCCCAAGACCCUGCAGCCGACCCUCCCCGUGGGCAGUGCAUGGAGGCUUCGCUACCUGAAGGUGACCGGGAAGAGCAGGAAUUGCCUGGUCCAUUGUUCAGCUCUGCGAAUAUGCUGCGGAUCUCACCUAGUGGUGUUCCCACUGCAAAGAGCUGGAGAGAGCGGCUGAGCUGCUGCGGUGCUCCUGCCAAGUACACACUUCUACUGUUUCCAAGGACUUAUUAUACAAAAACAAAGGAAAGUCAGGCCCUGACUGCAGGAAAGGAAGCACUGGAAAAAGCAUUUAGGAGUCAUGAGGCUCCAUGGCUCUGUGCGCGUCCCCAGCCCAGCUCCUGCCCAGGAUGUUCACCUCGCCCCUCAGCCACCUGAACGGCAGCAAGUCCUGCUGCUCCUGGAUAUUUUUCCCCCAUAGGAAUUGCACAGUCGAUUCUUUUCACAUAUGCUAGAAAUAGCAAAAUGCUGAUUAUUGCUGUAGAGGCCAUGAAGAGCAUUGCCCCCCUCCAUGCAGUGGGAGCAUCCGCUCGGACUCUUGGCAGCGCACCGGGUACCUCGCUCUGUGCCGGGGCCCUCACUGGGGGAAGCUUCUGGCUGCCCAGUGGUACUGGGACUGGGUAAUGGUCCCCAGUGCAGACUGGGGAGUCCUUCCAGCCUUUCCCUGUUGUUCCUUGAAACAGAAACAGAGCCUUGAACCUUGUGUAUCGGCUGCAUUUCAACCACCACAGGUGGACCCCGUGGUCUCUGGAGCAGAAGCAGCACCUGCAGCACAGGACAAGGCUGUGUCACCCUCACAUCCCAGUGCAGGGGUCCCCGUGCACGUGUCCCUGCCUGGGUGCUGCCAGCUGAGUGACAGCCUUUUGUCAUCUCAUCGCAAAACAUCCCUGUGGUAAGGCACUGCACUCCAUUCCAGCUCCCAGAGAGGUUUAGACAUUUUUUUUUC
ensembl:lncRNA